rnacentral:misc_RNA from 1 species
GAUGAAGAACGCAGCGAAAUGCGAUACGUAAUGUGAAUUGCAGAUUUCAGUGAAUCAUCGAAUCUUUGAACGCACAUUGCGCCCGCCAGUAUUCUGGCGGGCAUGCCUGUUCGAGCGUCAUUUCAACCUUCAAGCGCCUGCGCUUGUGUUGGAGCCCUGCGGCUGCCGCAGGCUCUCAAACCCAGUGGCGGGCUCGUCGUCGUACCGAGUGCAGUAAAUUUACCACGCUCAGGGCACGCGACGGGUGACCGGCCGUAAAACCCCCAUCUUCUCAAGGUUGACCUCGGAUCAGGUAGGAAUACCCGCUGAACUUAAGCAUAUCAAUAAGCGGAGGA